rnacentral:miRNA from 1 species
AUGUAUGUGUGCAUGUGCAUGU